rnacentral:rRNA from 1 species
UGGGGAAUUUUGGACAAUGGGCGCAAGCCUGAUCCAGCAAUGCCGCGUGCAGGAUGAAGGCCUUCGGGUUGUAAACUGCUUUUGUACGGAGCGAAAAGGUCUGCCCUAAUACGGUGGGCUAAUGACGGUACCGUAAGAAUAAGCACCGGCUAACUACGUGCCAGCAGCCGCGGUAAUACGUAGGGUGCGAGCGUUAAUCGGAAUUACUGGGCGUAAAGCGUGCGCAGGCGGUUAUAUAAGACAGAUGUGAAAUCCCCGGGCUCAACCUGGGACCUGCAUUUGUGACUGUAUAGCUAGAGUACGGUAGAGGGGGAUGGAGUUCCGCGUGUAGCAGUGAAAUGCGUAGAUAUGCGGAGGAACACCGAUGGCGAAGGCAAUCCCCUGGACCUGUACUGACGCUCAUGCACGAAAGCGUGGGGAGCAAACA